rnacentral:rRNA from 1 species
UACGGAGGGUGCGAGCGUUGUCCGGAAUCACUGGGCGUAAAGGGCGCGUAGGCGGCGCGAGUAGUCAACGGUGAAAGCCCGGGGCUCAACCCCGGGUCGGCCGUCGAUACUCUCGUGCUUGAGCACUGUAGAGGCAGGUGGAAUUCCGGGUGUAGCGGUGGAAUGCGUAGAGAUCCGGAAGAACACCGGUGGCGAAGGCGGCCUGCUGGGCAGUAGCUGACGCUGAGGCGCGAAAGCGUGGGGAGCAAACAGG